CAAGUCAUGAAGUUUCCUACAAGUUACAACAAGGCAAAAAGUGACUACUAUUCAGAAGCAGUUUUUCCAGUACUGCAGAUUUCCAGGAGUUGCUGUUGAUGGGACACAUGCUUACAUCAGGAGCCCUGGUGGGGCAAGAGCCAGGUACUACUUCAAUAGGAAGAACAGGUACUCCAUCGAUGUUCAGGUUGUCUGUGAUUAUGCUGGGAAAAUAACUAGUAUCGUUGCAAGGUGGCCUGGACUGGUAGCAGCCACGAUGCCAGGAUCUUUUCUGAGUGUGCACUGAAUUGACAGCUUGAUGCUAGGGCAUAUGAAUAACAGUUGAUUCUUGGAGAUAGACUAUAGGGUAUCCAUGCCUUCUCUGCCUCAUCAGAAGCCAUUUCUUCAUUCAGAGGGUCGACCACAGAUGUGCUUUAAAGGCCAUCUGUACUAGUUCAGCCAAAGAGGAUUAGACAACCCAGCAAGGUCACUGAUGGGAGGCUAUCUCAU